rnacentral:rRNA from 1 species
UACGGGGGGGGCAAGCGUUGUUCGGAAUUACUGGGCGUAAAGGGCCUGUAGGCGGCCAACUAAGUCGGAUGUGAAAUCCCCAGGCUUAACCUGGGAACUGCAUCCGAUACUGGAUGGCUUGAAUUCGGGAGAGGGAUGCAGAAUUCCAGGUGUAGCGGUGAAAUGCGUAGAUAUCUGGAGGAAUACCGGUGGCGAAGGCGGCAUCCUGGACCGACAUUGACGCUGAACGGCGAAAGCUAGGGGAGCAAACGGG